rnacentral:rRNA from 1 species
UACGUAGGGGGCGAGCGUUGUCCGGAAUCAUUGGCGUAAAGCGCGUGUAGGCGGCUCGAUAAGUCCGGUGUGAAACCUUGGGGCUCAACCCCAAGCCUGCACUGGAUACUGCCGAGCUAGAGUCCGGGAGGGAGAGCGGAAGUCCUAGUGUAGCGGUGAAAUGCGCAGAUAUUAGGAAGAACACCGGUGGCGAAGGCGGCUCUCUGGAACGGUACUGACGCUGAGACGCGAAAGCGUGGGGAGCGAACAGG